UACGAAGGGUGCAAGCGUUACUCGGAAUUACUGGGCGUAAAGCGUGCGCAGGCGGUUGUGCAAGACAGAUGUGAAAUCCCCGGGCUUAACCUGGGAACUGCAUUUGUGACUGCACAGCUAGAGUACGGCAGAGGGGGAUGGAAUUCCGCGUGUAGCAGUGAAAUGCGUAGAGAUGUGGAGGAAUACCGAUGGCGAAGGCAGCCCCCUGGGAUAACACUGACGCUCAUGCACGAAAGCGUGGGGAGCAAACAGG
rnacentral:rRNA from 1 species